rnacentral:lncRNA from 1 species
CCCCCUCACAAUGCAAUUUGCUUGUUACGGCUCAAGUCCGACGCGUGGAUUUCCCAUCGUCGGUGACGUACGCACGUCAUCACGUGGGCGGAUUUCGCAACGCGGGAAUUCCCAACAGAUCUCGCAGUUGGAAGUGGCAGCAGCAGCGUCGGCUUAGUCCUUGGUUGUCGCCGAGUGAACGGAUCUCAGGAUCAGCGGCGGCUCAGAUUGUGUAACCUGGACAAGCUCGUCGUUUGUUUGUGUUUCAGCCAACUUCGUGCAUCGUCCUGUAUGCCUUAGUGCGUACGUACGUACGUACUGCGGGAAAUAUGAACCGUAAAUGCGAUGCCGACGAGUUCUACGACUCCCUCCUUCGAGAAUGUUUAUCGUGUUCAUCAUGUGAUGACAAGAAGAACAGCCGCUGUAACGCUGACUGUAACGCGCAACAGGAAUCGGGGGAAUGGAUCCCAUCACCAAAGCCAACUCAGUUCGUAUCAACAACAGACAUUUUGAGUUCACCAACAAAAACACUUGGUCUUGGAUCCUCUCAAGAACACAUUUACUACAUUAUUGCUGCUGUAUUCUUCUUCCUGAUCCUCACCCUGGGACUCCUCCUGCUGCAACACAAGGUCUUCCAUUUCCUCAAGAAGAAGCCCAGACGAACUGGACAAGCCUGUGGACAAAUGAACACUGCAGGAGGCAGGGAACAAAACUGCACGGAGAUGGAACCACUGCAGGUAGCAACCUUGCACAUGAGGCCUUGCCAACCUUGCCAACCUGAGACUACGGUGGUGCCUAUAACAGAGUCUGGUGAUGGAACGUCUUGCUUAGUGCCUACUGGUUAUGAGUCAAACUCUGGACAUGCACUACCACUACUAACAUUGGUCUCGGGCUAAUAGCCGUUGCUUGAAUCCAUUCGUUGUGAACCACAAAUGAACUUGAUGAAUACACCAAAUCACAAAUGAACGAUUCAUGUCAGGAAAUGGUUUUAGGGCAAAGGUACUCUUAUCGCUCUGAAAUCCAAUACCUCUGUUUUUCCUGUGGAUGUGUUUCAUUAAUUGUAAUUAUUUUUGUAACUAUCAGAUGGAUAUAAAAUAAGAAGGUUCUUGAAAGCUGGGCUCUUCACAAGGCUUUCAAGGGUUGGACUUUGGAUUCUGCCCAAACCUCUUGGAGAUUAAUCUUAUAUUAAAGAGGAAAAUAUUGUACAGAAGUGUGAAUUAAAGUUAUGAAAAUAAAGUUGCUUAUUGCCUUGAAUUCAUGUUGUGACUGAUCAAUGAAUUACUCGUGAAAUAUUUUCCUGUCAAUUUGAAACUACAACUCUAAAAAUCAAUUUCCACUUUACAGCUACGAAUGAGCAAACCAUAUUAUUGCUAAAUCUGAGCCAUUCCUGUGAUACUGUUCUCACUGAAAUGUAUUAAUGAAAUGCCAGUUUGUUCAAAAUAUUUACUUUUUAUUAUUAAGACUCACAUUGGAGCUUGUAUAUAAAUCACAUGCCGGACAAAGACAUUGGUGUAAUUGGUGUACUUUCAUGCAAAUUACAUGGACAUUAUUAGAUAACGAGUAUAAAAGCCCGUCAAAAUGAUGGGUUGGAAUUAUUUUAUUUGAAAUAUUCAAGGAGACUGGAAGAUAUGAUGUUUCAAUUCGUAGCAAGAAAAAAACGUUAUUUUAAGACACUACAUGUACAAAUGUGACCCUAUCUUCUUCAUCUUCUGGGACGUUUCAUUUUGACGGUACAGCCUCGUGAGCAUGCCAAAGUCUGAAGCCUCGGCCUAGUGUCAGGUGUGCUUAUAUCUUCUUUAUUUAUUAGACAUCCUACAGACGUAAGUGAACACUCGUUUUACUCUGCGUGUGUUGCACAUCAUUUGCAGUGAAUUUCACCUCCCUGUGCCUUGAUUUAUUGUUAGUUUUUUCAAUGCUUCUGUACACUGCUCUUGAGGUCCGGUUGCAAGUCACCAUCUACAUUUCCAACAGAAGAGAUGUAAUUAUUCUUUUAUCAAAAAUGUUUUUCGAGUUAUUUAAUCCUGAAAAAUAGACCGUAGUGAACACACAGUCGUGUUAAAGAUUGGCCUUUAAAACCCUUCUUAAAUCGUCUUUAUGAAGGGGGACAGACAAAUACACAAAUACCCAGUUUCAUAACUCAACAUAGCAUAAGGGAUUUGAAACUGGGCUCCACACAUUUGGAGUCAUUUGUUCAGAUACGAAUGCUAAACAGACCAACUCAAUUGUGUAUUCAUCAAAUCUAAAAUAUUUUGAACAUUAUGGGAAAACAUGACCACAUGGCAUGAUGUACCUCAAAACCUUGUUUAUUGAACAUAUAUUUACCUAGUGUGAAAUAAAAAGCAUGAUUAAGCAAUUGUUUCACUAUAGUCUGUCUGCCUGUCUGUCUGUCUGUCUACAGAUGUCAGUCUAUGCUCGAGGAACUACUUGAUUUCAAUUGAAUGUUAUAUUUGAACACUGUAGAACACGAAUCUGAACACAAAUCUGCAGUUUAGCAGAACAUUGGCUCUGAAUUUGGCAAAUUCUACGGAAUCUCGUCCCAAGCUUGCAUAAACAGAGAGGAGUAAGGCUGCCUGUCUGGCAGUCAAACAAGAUUGAAAAUCAUUCCAAACAGGAAAGUUACUAUUUUUAGGUAGUCACAAAUGCCACAAACAACAGGCACGAGGAACUAAUGCAACGUGCAUCAAUGGUGGUAAACUUCUGGAAAAAGUUUUUUUUUCCUGCAGCCUUUAAAACCUUGAUUAAUUUCAAUUGAAUUAUAUACUGGAACUACUGUAGAACACAAAUUGCAUUCUUACCACUUCCAAAUUCCUUAUGUUUUUCAGUACUUGGACAAAAUAUUACACAAUUUUACGCCAUCUCGACCAAUCAAAUCAAAUUUGCCGUUCACGCUCUCAGUAUUGUGGAAUAUCCAUCCAUUGGGGCCAUACUCUGUGAAGAGCGUUGGUGCUGCCAAAGCAGUCUCCUUGGCUAUUGGGCAAAAUCAUGGAUCGCCACUCUGACACAGGAUACCAGCAAGCUGGCACUCAUUUUGCUGACCUCAGAAGGAUGACAGGCAGAGUCAGCCCCAACUGGUAUUAAUUCAAUAGCUCAGGGGGAUUUGAACUCAGGAUUCUAGAAUCCCAAGCCCGCCACCCUAACCGUUAAGCCAACACCAGGCAUGUGGAAUAUCGAGAUUAAGACAAAGUGGCAGGUCGUAGGAAAUGUAGAUUGUGUUCGGAAACACAAAGCAAGAGUCAUGUCCUUUUUAUCAAGACUGUGUGGGGGUUAGGUGUUGGAAGAACUCUAGUUAUUGUAAAGGUUAAAAAAUUUUUUUUAACAAAACCAAAGGUAUACAUGUGGUCAACUAUAUCCAUUGUUUUUAAAUUCCAAUAGUAGGUAACUGCCUUAACAGCAUUCUCAGACCUAUUUACCUCAAGUGUUCCGGUUCAGUGAGGUUAUAGAAUUGUGGGCAGGCUUGGUGCCAGGAUUUUAGAAAGAGGAAAGGUGGGGUGUUCAUUUUCAGCAUUACCAACUGUGUACGAGCAACAUCAACAGCCAACCUCGCUCCCAAUUGUAUGUGAUCAACAGUUCAAAUCCUUCCAUUUUAGCUUCAUUGGACAAAUAAAACAUUUCGCCCACAUUGUUCAAAUUCUGCCAAACAAACCAUUGUUCUUUUGAUGAACACUGCAUGCAUUGUAAACUGCCUUUGAUUGCUGGAUAUCUUGCUUUCUAUUUUAACUUUUAACGAAUGUUUAUUCAGUAUCACUUACUCAUCCCUACCUAUUUCUGAUUGAUUCACAUAAAGCAGCAUUUUAUGACACUACUACUACUACUACUACUACUACUACUACACCACUACUUUAAUAGCCACAUUCAAUUCCAUCCUCUUGUGGGGUUGGUUGGCCAUGGGGAAAGUUUGUGUCCAAUUACUUUCAUAAACCUGACAACCUGACAGUUGACUGGAGCUCACUUGUGCAGGAAUGUAUUUUUGUUGCAUACAGUGUCGAGGCUUGUGGAGGAGUGAGAACACAGAACGGAUCAAGACGUAACAGACCAAAAGCAACAGUGGAAAGAAAGGGAGUGUGGAAGGGGGAAGACACACCAACAGCAGGGUUGAGGGACAAAACAGAGGGAGUCCGAAAGAAAGAAGGGAUGUGGGGAAAAAUGAGGGCUAGCAGAGUGAACGGGGUGAAUAAGAUGGAUACAGCCGCUAACUCUCAAUCACAGAAGUGGAAGGAAAGAUUGUGAACUUGGGAAGAGGUGGGCUUUGGGAGGGUUAAUGGGGUGGAAAAGAUCAUGGUUGUGGAUGGGGGAUGACCCGAGAUGGUGGUAAACAGCAGUCUUGAAGCCUUAGAAGGAGGUGGAGAUUGAAGAGAGUGAGGAAGUUGGUUCUGCAAGCAGGAAAAAAGAGGAACGACUGAGUGGAGGUGAGCACUGAUUCUAGAUUUUGGAAGUUUCACCAACAGAGGGUGACUGGUAGAUCACGUGCACCUUGCAGAAACCUGGAGAAACCGCAGUCACCCAAAACAAAUGUGGUAUUUGUUUAGAGUGCCUGUGAGAACUCACAAACUCUUCAUUAAAAG